rnacentral:rRNA from 1 species
AUGAUCAGGGCCCGCCUCAUUGCUGCGGCAACUCUGCCAUUGUUUUCCUCUUUCUGUGCGGCGGCGGCCAGGGCAGCGGCAGCCACGGUUUCGAGCAUGCGGUCCUUCGCGUGCCUCUGGUCUUCCUCUUGGCCGACUACACCGCCCGCUGCUCGGCCGUCAAGUACUUCUUCUUGGGCGCUGCCGCUGUGUUGCCGGUGGUGGACGGCAGUGCGUGGCUUGCCUUUGGCGGGGGCGAUGGAGACUAAGGGGACGACGUCUAGCCCUUUUUCUAGAUGUGUUGACAAUGCACCCACCGUGGCCGACACAUUUGGUCGGACGUUAGUCCGAGGCAAGCACCAGUUUCAUAUCGUCGGCUACAGCGAGCGGAAGGCUCUCGCCGGCGUGAGCGCCAGAAACACCUCCGUCGUCAGGUCCGGCGACUUCGAGGCCGGAGGAUGCACCUGGGCCUUCAGUUGUCGCUUCAGGAAACAAGGACUGGCGUCCAUCUCCCUGGAGCUGGUCUGCGGCAAGUACGCCGCCACCGCCAUGGCCAGCUUGAGGAUGGACGACCCGUUUCACCGGUGGCCUGCCGCAGUAUGGCGAAGCCCGGGCACCAACACCUUCCCCGCUUCGCCGGCAACAACAAGCAGGAGUUGGAAGCUGUCGGUCCCCGAGGCGUUCUUCCAUGGCCAAGAGGAGCGGUACGUGGUAGAUGACCGCCUUACCAUCCUCUGCGUCGUCCAUGUCCUCCGGCUGGACGUCACCCUCCCAAAUACCAGGAGCUGCUUCAUCUCCGCCGUGCCGCCGCCAACCAUCUCCGGAGAUCUCCUCAUGCUUCUUUUUGCGUCCAUGUCUAAAUCGGAUUCCGUGAAGCACGCCAUGAGGCCAGACGUGACGUUCAUCGUGGAGCAGACCGAGAUCCGGGCGCAUAAGCUUGUCCUCGCCGUGCGGUCGCCGGUUUUCGCGGCGGAGUUUCGAUGGCACAUGAAUGAGAAUAUCAUAAUCAGGGUCGACGACGACGACAUGAGCGCCUCCACUUUCAGGGCCAUGCUUCGCUUCAUCUACACCGACGAGCUACCCAUCAAACCAAACAACGACCGCAUGAUACUAACAAGCGAAGAUAAACAUGCGGCAAGGCGGUACGAGGCCAUGGUGCGCGACCUGCUGGUAGCCGCCGAUCGGUAUGACUUACAGAGGCUAAGGCUUUUGUGCGAGAAGGUACUGGCUGAGGGCAUGGAUGAUAAGUCUGUCAUACCUACACUGAUGGUGGUGCACGGUAGGUACAGUUGUCGGCAGCUCGAGGAUUUAUGCAUCGAGUACAUAGCGUCCCAUCCAAAUUCUUAUAGUGACCUGAAGGCGACCGAGGAGUAUAACGAAAUCAUAAAUAGUGGCUGCUCUUUCCUACUUGAGGUCACCGACAAAGUAGACACGAUUAAUAUGGCUCCAAACUCAAGCUCCAACAAAAGAAAGCGAGAUGAUGGCUUGCCAGAUCAGGUGGUAGUCCACGGCUCACACAAGUUUACGAUCCCCUACUUUAGGGCUCUCCAGAGGAGCCUGCUUGCUGUUGGUAAAAAUACAAUCGGUUCCGGCCUUUUUCAGGUUGGCGGCUACAACUGGCAGCUAUGCGUACGGUGGUUAUACCCAUCCAAUUCUUCGGCAUUCGUUGUGUAUCUCUGUUUGGUGAGGAGUAGUCUUGAAACUUCCCCUGUCACUACGUCAAUUGGCUUCAAGAUAGAUAACCCUUGUGGCAAGUCGUUGCCGCCGAUAACAAUGGUAGAAGAAAUUUUUACCAAUGCAGAAAACUUCAGGCGUGCAGAGUUCACCCUCAUGAAAUCAACCAACUCCUCACAUGAUGACUCCCUCACUGUACACUGCCAUCUCAAUGUCACCAAGGAGGCUGCUUGCACUAGUUCUAGCACCAUCUCCCAUGGUGCCGGAGUAACGGUCGUUGUGCCUCCACCCUACAUCGGUUUGCACCUUGAGCAGUUGUUGGUGAGUGGGCAAAGGUACGAUGUGAGGUUCCUGGUUGAGGAGUGUGACAUACGUGCUCAUGGUCUCGUAAUCGCGGCUCGAUCACCAGUCCUAUACAAAGUGGUUGAAGCGGCGGCGACCAAGGAGGAUGACCAUCACAUCGUACGGGUUGACAACAUGAAGGCGGCGGUCUUCAGGUCUGUUCUCCACUUCAUCUACACCGACAAGCUACCCUCUAUGGAUAACCCAGUCCUUGCUGUUGAAGACAUGCUUGCGGCAGCCUGCCGAUUCCGUCUCGAGAGGUUGAAGAUUGCGUGCGAGAACUUUUUCGCUGACCACAUCUCGAAUAAGAACGCAUUGUGCACGUUGAAACUGGCGCAACGUCACCACUGCUUGGAACUAGAAAAAUAA